AAAACGACUCUCGGCAACGGAUAUCUCGGCUCUCGCAUCGAUGAAGAACGUAGCGAAAUGCGAUACUUGGUGUGAAUUGCAGAAUCCCGUGAACCAUCGAGUUUUUGAACGCAAGUUGCGCCCAAAACCUUCGGGUCGAGGGCACGUCUGCCUGGGUGUCACGU
rnacentral:rRNA from 2 species